rnacentral:lncRNA from 1 species
UUAUAUUAACUUGUUAUUAGUGUGCCAAUUCGUGAUUGGUUAUUCGCUUCUGUUUUGGUGUAAUCUACGUGUUUUAUUAUGUGUAUUAGUGAUUAUAUAUUGGUAGAUUAUUUGGUGAAAGUGAAGGUAUAUUUUUGGCCUAACCCAUCGGUGGCCUCUUAAACUUGGCACGAAGUUUCACUUAGGCACCGCAAGUGGGCGAUGUUCAUUUUAGACACCUCAUGUAGGGUCUCGCUAUGUCAUUUUGACACUUUUUGCUGACUAAGCACAGUACGUGUUCUACACGAAUUUUGAGCGCGUCAGAGACUUUUUUUGUAAAUAUUCUGAAUUUUUUUGUAAAUAUUUUAUUCUCCUUCUUCUUCCUUGCUUUCUCCCUUCCAUCUUCCCCACCUUCUACCAUCCUCCAUCACCACACAACUUUUUAAAAAAAUUCUACAAUAUUUUACUAGGUUACACUCUUUGAUUCUUCCAUCUUCUUUGAAAAUCGAAUUUGCAUCUUGAUUCAUAUUCAAAAACAAAAUCGAUUUCAAAGGAACAAAAAAAGAAAUCAACUUCUUUCAAAUGGAAAAACUGAUUUACAUUCUUACCUUCUCCAUUGAAAAUUAAAUUGAUUUCAAGGAAUAAAAAAGAAAUAAAGAACAACCUCCAAUGAAAAAAAAAGAAAUUUAUUUUACAUAUCCUUCAUUGUAAAUCCCAAUCGUAGUAGCACAAGAAAUCAUCUUCUUUUAAAUGUCAUAUAAAAACUUUUCGAUUUGGUAUGAUUUCCCUUAUUCUCCAAAACGUAUUUUACUUUGUAAACUAACCUAUGUUCUUGCCUUUUUGAUGGAGAAGAACAGAUGAAGGGGAAGGAGGNNNNNNNNNNNNNNAAUAAAAUUUCCACGUGUCACAUACCAAUUCAGUUAUUUUUCCACAUCAGAGGCAUCUGGAUGUACGCACUUAAAAUGCGGUUUUGAAAAUAUAAAAAGUGUCAAAAUGACACAAUGAGGUUUGACAUGAGGUGCUUAAAAUGAACAAAGCCUAGUUAAAGUGUCCAAGUGAAAGUUGGUGCCAAGUUUAGGGGGUCAUCGAUGAGUUAGCCCUAUAUUUUAAGUCAUGUAUUGAAUAUUUUUUGGUAGUGAUUAGGUGUAAUUAGAUUUUUGUAGUAAGUUUUUAAUGAAUACCAACAUUCUUUAUUUAUUUGGUAAAUUUUGAUGGUGUAAUAGAUGUAUUUUUUGGUACAUAUAUUGAAGUAGUUGUUAUUUUUUAGGUCUUUUUAAAACACCAUAAAGUUGAGUUUGACGAUCUGUUAUGAAUAGUGUUUUGGUAGAUUAUUUGGUCAAAUUGAUAGUUUAUUUGUUGUAAAUGAUAUAGUGUAAUCAAUAUUGUAUAUUAGGUUUUAAAUUAUCUAUAUUUAUUUCAUAUGGUGUUACAUAUAAUCA